UAAACAUGGCCUCGGAUCAAGUAGGGAUACCCGCUGAACUUAAGCAUAUCAAUAAGCGGAGGAAAAGAAACCAACUGGGAUUGCCUUAGUAACGGCGAGUGAAGCGGCAUCAGCUCAAAUUUGAAAUCUGGCUUCGGCCCGAAUUGUAAUUUGUAGAGGAAUGUUUGGUCUUAUCUUCGAUCCAAGUUUCCUGGAACGGAACGUCUUAGAGGGUGAGAACCCCGUACCAGAUUGAAUGAUAUGACUAUGUAAACUUCCUUCGAAGAGUCGAGUUGUUUGGGAAUGCAGCUCAAAAUGGGUGGUAAAUUCCAUCUAAAGCUAAAUAUUGGCCAGAGACCGAUAGCGCACAAGUAGAGUGAUCGAAAGAUGAAAAGCACUUUGGAAAGAGAGUGAAACAGUACGUGAAAUUGUUGAAAGGGAAGCGCUUACAAUCAGACUUGGAUUAAGUGUUCCACUCAUCGUUGAUGGGUUCACUCAUUUGAUUCAGGCCAACAUCGGUUUCAGCGGUUGGAUAAAGGUUGGAGGAAUGUGACUCUCUUCGGGGAGUGUUAUAGCCUCUUACACAAUACAGCCAGUUGGGACCGAGGACAGCGUCGCUGGA
rnacentral:rRNA from 1 species